AUGGCUAUAUCACAUUGAAACACUGGUUCUCAUACUGAAGUUAAGCAACAUUGAGCCUGGUCAGUACCUAGAUGGGCAACUGCUUGGGAAUAUCAGGCACUGUA